AGAGUUUGAUCAUGGCUCAGGACGAACGCUGGCGGCGUGCCUAACACAUGCAAGUCGAGCGGGGAGAAGAAUUCGUUUUUCUCUUUAGCGGCGGACGGGUGAGUAACACGUGGGUAACCUGCCUCAAAGUGGGGGAUAGCCUUCCGAAAGGAAGAUUAAUACCGCAUAACAUCGAAGCACUGCAUGGUGCUUUGAUCAAAGGAGCAAUCCGCUUUGAGAUGGACCCGCGGCGCAUUAGCUAGUUGGUGAGGUAACGGCCCACCAAGGCGACGAUGCGUAGCCGACCUGAGAGGGUGAUCGGCCACAUUGGAACUGAGACACGGUCCAGACUCCUACGGGAGGCAGCAAUGGGGAAUAUUGCACAAUGGGCGAAAGCCUGAUGCAGCAACGCCGCGUGAGUGAUGAAGGCCUUCGGGUCGUAAAGCUCUUUGAUCAGGGACGAUAAUGACGGUACCUGAAAAACAAGCCACGGCUAACUACGUGCCAGCAGCCGCGGUAAUACGUAGGUGGCAAGCGUUGUCCGGAUUUACUGGGCGUAAAGAAUGCGUAGGUGGAUAUUUAAGUGGGAUGUGAAAUCCCCGGGCUCAACCCGGGAACUGCAUACCAAACUGGAUAUCUGGAGUGCAGGAGAGGAAAGCGGAAUUCCUAGUGUAGCGGUGAAAUGCGUAGAUAUUAGGAGGAACACCAGUGGCGAAGGCGGCUUUCUGGACUGUAACUGACACUGAGGCAUGAAAGCGUGGGGAGCAAACAGGAUUAGAUACCCUGGUAGUCCACGCCGUAAACUAUGGGUACUAGG
rnacentral:rRNA from 1 species